UACGAUGGGGGCUAGCGUUGUUCGGAAUCACUGGGCGUAAAGGGCGCGUAGGCGGCCGAUCAAGUCGGGGGUGAAAGCCUGUGGCUUAACCACAGAAUGGCCUUCGAUACUGUUUGGCUUGAGACCGGAAGAGGUUAGUGGAACUGCGAGUGUAGAGGUGAAAUUCGUAGAUAUUCGCAAGAACACCAGUGGCGAAGGCGGCUGACUGGUCCGGUUCUGACGCUGAGGCGCGAAAGCGUGGGGAGCAAACAGG
rnacentral:rRNA from 1 species